GGCCUCCGCGGCCAGGGAACUGCGGGCAAGGGGCUGAGGGGAGGGGGAUCCAGUGCCAGUCGCUUAAAAAUGCCCCUGUGGUAGUAAGGGGUGCCAGAGGCCGGGUCAAGUUAGUUGAGAAGCAGUGACACCCCCCACCAGUCCCCAAACAGGCUGACCCCAUCUCUAGGCCCCAAGGAGCCACACCUGGACCAGACUGCGGGACAGGCAAGGGCCCUGGCUGGUGGAAGCCACCUACCACCCUGGCACUGGAUAACCAACAACCCUGGAGAGGGAGCCUCCUAGAGACCAGAAGAGGGAGGCGGCAGGCAGCCCUGGCAGCAGAACUCCUCCCCUUCACCCACCCUUCCCCAGAGCCUUCCAACAGCCUGCCGACCAAGUUUCCCCCAACCCAGAGACGUUUCCAGGAGACAUCCAGAAAGGGAGGGGAAAACAGUGCGUUCUCCUGGGAGCAGACCCCCAAGUCACCCACAGCCAGCACUGAAAGCCACCAGGUAAAACUCUUGACACCGCCUGGCUCAGUCACCUCCUUUAACAGAAGGGGAAAGAGCGCCACAGAGAGGAGAGGGGCCUGGCGUGAAGUCACUUGCCAACUGGCGACAGAACCGAGACUCCCAAAUGGCUUCCCCCAUCUCCCCUGGGAUCCAGUGUGAAGGAGCCUUUCAUGGGGUAAGUGAAAUAGGGGCCAGAGAGCCCCUUCUCAGUGAGGCCCUCGCUUGAAGGAAACAGGGGAUGGGACAAGUGCUGCCUGCCAGCCCAGCAAGUGGGCAAGACUCAAAGGAAGUGUUCCUGGGGCCAGAGAGCCAGGAGGAAGGGCACCCUGCCUGGACCUCUGCCCCUCCCCACAGCUCAGCAGGACCACCUCCUCCUCCAGGAAGCCUGCCCAGCUCCCCCAGGGAUUGGAGCCUCUUUGUCCUCUAAGCCCUUGGCAGUCCUUUCAUGGGGUCUUUCUUGACCCUCUUAGUUCUGCCUUCCUCUCUGUCAGCCUGACUUUGCCAUACCAGGGCGAGGACUGUGUCAGAUUUGAUCCCAUCUCCCUCUGCAUGUAGAUGAGGCACUUGCUCUGCUGUGUGGACAGAUGUGGUGAUGAGAUCUUGUCCCAAAACCAGAGACUGGGACAUGGGUCAAGAGAUGAGACAUCUGUAUAGAGGUCAACAGUGAGGGACCCGGGGUUGGCCGUUCUGAGUGAGGAAUCCCAGUGCAGGUCCUUGCUCUCUGCCUUUGGAAAAUUCCAUUCCCAUGGAGCCUUAGGGUGUCCACAAGGAUUUGCACAAUUAAAGCAUUUCAAUAAAUGACCAUUCUUAUUAUAGUCAUCAUCAACAUGAUUGUCCUAGAUGCAAAGGGACAGAUCUAGGUAGCCUCUAGCCUGGAGAAGGACAGACCCAAGGGCCCAUUGGAGAUGGAGGCAAAGACCUCCUGUGGCCAAAGGCUGCAUCUCAGCCCCCUGCCCGGGCACCAGUCUCUCCCCCAAAGAAGCAUGGGGCCUCCUACUGCUGGUUCCUGCCUCUCAUGCCAGGAGACCUGCUGUCUUGGAUGCACUGUCUUCCACCCACAGGGUGAGGUGGAAACAGGCCCCUCCCCAGGUGCAGUUCAGGCUCUGCAACCCUGGAAUUGUUACCUCCCAUUCCUGGUCCUCCAGCAGAGGUGGACCUCACCAGCUGUCUGAAGAUCAAAAGGCAUCAGGCAUCAUUUCCCACACUCAGCCGUUCCCAUGCUCCUUUUAUUUUGUAAGUUGAGUCCUUUUUUUUUGUACUGGGGAUUUAACCCAGGGGCACUGGACCACUGAGCCACCUCCCCAGCCCUAUUUUGUAUUUUAUUGAGAGAUAGGGUCUCACUGAGUUGCUUAGUGCCUCACUCUUGCCGAGGCUGGCUUUGAACUCACCAUCCUCCUGUCUCAGCCUCCCUAGCUAUUGGGAUUCUAGGCCAGCACCAGUCCUUUGGAAUGCUAAAGUAGAAACAGUUGCUUAAAUGGUAAAUACUUAAAUGAAACACUGGAACACUGUCCAUAGUUAAAAAUAAAUACAAUGGAAAUGAAACAACAUUGUUAACACUUUAACCUGAAACUGUGGCUGGUCAGGCCCUGGGCCUGAAGCCCAGGUGGGUGAUAAGCAGGACUCAGAAAGGUGUCCCAGGCAGGACAGCACCAAAUGGAGAAUUUUCUCCCCCUGAUACAUUGAAGGACUGAAAGCAGUUCAACAUGGAACAACUGAGGCCACCAAUUCCCAGAAUCACUCACUCUACCUCCUGCCCUUGGAGGCCGAUGGUGGUGCAGAGGAGUGGGCUUUGGCAACAGUCACCCAGGGACGGUGGGGACUCCUUCUCAGCUUGACUCAUGGGAGUGAAGCUGCACUUUUUUAGGAUAACCAUCUGGCUCUCACUGAGAUUCCCCCUUGGUCAGGCUAAACACCUCCCCUCCCAGGGAACAGGAGCUGUGGGGUAUGGAGCAAACAGGCCGUCCCUGACCCCCAAAUGAGGCCAGUGUCCCCAUUACCAGCCAGCCAAAUGCACUUGGAAAGAAGUUUCUGCAGGAAAAUUCCAGAUAAGAAGAAGGCAGGGCUGUUCCAUUAGCAGACCAUCAAAAGUGGCCUGCCCUGAGCAGCAGACCAGAGGACAAUGCCCUCCCUCCCCCCAGAGCUCAGAUGGGACCUGAUGUCAGAUUUCUGCUGGAGACAGAGUAAACAUGUUUGUUUGUUUUUAAUGGAGCCGCAUAUUUUUUUCUGUUCUCUCCCAGCCCUGAGGAAAGUCUGCUCACCCCUCUCACACAUCUCUGAGAGCACAUGUCAUCUGGCAUCAAGGCCACCGUAGUCACCAUCAGCCAAAGCAGGAGGGUCCUCUGGGGAGCCUGAGAGCUUGGCAGAGCAGGAGGAAUUGGGGAAGGGCUUCACUCACCUGUCAGGCCCAAAGGAGAACAUGCAUUACCUACGUGGCCAUUUAAUCAGCCACCACAUGACACUCUCUGUAGCCCAUCACCCUGGACAAAGCCAUCAGCAAGAGCUAGGGACCCCUCAAUUAAUAAGACAUGGGGCACUGUCUUCAGGGAACUGGAAAUCUAACCAGGUCAGACACCCAGGCAAAUAACUCCCAUACUAGAGAGAGCAAGACUGAGGACAUGGUUCUUCCACUCAGCCAAUGCUAUGGGGCAUCCACACUGCCAGACCCUGAUCUCAGGGCUGAGGACAGUUGCCAGGGCUCUUCCCUUGCAGGUGGACCUCACAGUCCACAAGUGAAAACCACAACUCAAGAGCAGUAAAGGAGAAGAGUGGUCUAGGAUAGGGAAGCGUGUGAAGCAGGGUGUCCUGAGAUCUAAGAAGUCAGGGACAGCAGCCCAAGGUGGUCAUUUGAGUAGAGACAGCACACCAAGAAGAUAUGGUUGGGGGAAGGAGGGGGGACAGCCCAGCACCAGGGUAAUGGGGAGCCCCUUCUAGAGUAUAAGCCCAGGAAAGAUUGAGCACAUUUGCAUUUUGAAAAGUCACUUUGGGAGGAUGGGUAAGAAGAAAGAAGGAGAAAAGGGAAGACAGGUUGGAUACAAGUGUUUAAUGAAUAAAUGUCAAGUACCAGGAUGCUGUUUGACUGGGGUGCAUCACACAUAAAGAUGAGGCAUAGGGUCAAAAACAGAGGUCAGUCUACUUGAUGAUUCCAAUUAUCGAAAAGUCCAGAACAAGCAGAUUUAUAGAGGCAGAAGGUGGUCCACCAAAGGCUGGGUUUGGCUAAGAAAGGGGCUUUCUUUAUCUUGGGAGAGGGGGGUUGGUGAUGAAAUAUUCUAAAAUGGAUUGUGGUGAUAGUUACACAACUUUGCGAUUAAAAACCAUUUAAGACCAAACGUAAUGGCACAUGCUUAUAAUCCCAGUGACUUGGGAGGCCAGAGCAGGAGGAUCACAAAUUUGAGACCAGUCAGCAAUUUAGUGAGACUCUGUCUCAGAACAAAAAAAUGAAAGGAGCUGGGGAUGUAGCUCAAUGGUAAAGCACCCUGGGGUUCAAUCUCUAGCCCAAAAGGAAAAGAAGAGGAAGGUCGAGGUUUGAUCCUAGAGGUCUUCAAUGUCAGGCCAAGGACAGGAAACGCUGCUGAGAUAGCUCCAUCAGUCCCCGGGCAGAGCUGGAGGGGUGGAACUGAGGUCCCCUCUCAUGCCCCUUCUCCUGUCCAGGGAGGAGUGCCUACCACCGGCCAGCCAAGCGGAGCAGUGCAGCGCCCUGUCCCCCAGCCUGAGGUGCAGUGCUGCAUCUCUGGUCAGUUGGGAGUCUGAGAUGAAGCACUGUAGCUCGGGAAGGGAGAAGUUGUUCUGCAGCCAUCAUCCUGGAAGUGGUAAGUGAGGUACCAGGAAGGACUGACGGGGAGUUCACAGACUGCAGACGGUCAGCAGCUGGCAGAGGUGGGGAGGUUCUACCAGUGUCACGAUGGGCUUUGUGAUUCCAAGCAGGCCCUGGCCCUGUGAACCCAGAACGUCUAUCUGUAGCACAAGGUGUUGAGCCACUCUGUGGAGACUGCUAUCUAGUAAUCUGCCUCCACAUCCUCUUUCUGAGCCCACAGGGGACACUGCUAAUCCGUCAAGGCAGCCAUUCUUGAAGUGUUUGGAUACAGCUUUAGAAUCCUGCUCAACUGAGACCUGGACAGUCACUCUUAAUGAUUUGGAGCUGAAACCCAUUUAUCAUGUGUAGAUCAGACAAUUCCUAAAAACCCUGUUAGCCCUAGAGACAGAAGUCCUGGGCUUUGAGUCAAGGUCUUUGCUCUCUGAGCUCCUAAUCUUGGAUCUGGGCUGUUGCCUAAACGAGUGCAGGCAUCUCAUAAAUGUGUGAGCUCUCCCAGAGGCUUUGGACAAACAGUGAGCAGCAGAGGAGAGCCACUGGGCUGGCACAAUUUUAUUUAACCUCCCCCAUAGCUUGGGAGAUGGACCGUGUCACUGGGCCACUUUACAGAGAAGAAAACUGAUGCUCUGUUAAACGACUUACCCAAGGUCACACAGACUGUGCUGAGCCGGGGUUGUUGCCUCAUCUGUCUGUCUCCAGAUCCACAUUCUCACCCAUCGGUGGUGAUUAUGGAAUCCAGGAUCGGGGAGCAGGAAGAGAAGCUCACCUGUGUUCAUACCUGGGGUCACUUUAGCAAAGACAGACCCAAAACAUUGCAUGAAUCCUUUCCCCUGCUCUCUGAUCUCAUUUAUUUCCCCACUAGGUCCUGUACUAUCCCAUUUUACAAUGAAGGAAAGCCAGGGCUCAGAGGUUAAGUGAUUUGCCAGGGGUCAUCGGCAAGGAAAUUGCCAGAAACUGGGAACUCCAUCUGCCCAAUUGAGGCUGGGAUCCGGGUUGCCAAAUGUUUCUGAUGGACAUCGUCAGUCUGGGUUUGAUGACAGGGAAGGUACUUUCCAGGGCACUUGAAGUUCCAGUCACUACUCUUCCCAGAGCAAUGGGCUGCAUCCUGUGAGACAUGGCACCCACACUAGCCGCUGCCGCCAUGGCUGGAUGCGGAAGAAAACCCCAGCUGGCCUGUAGGGACAUGGCAGCCUUGGUUCUGAAGGCUACUCACUCUCUCCCACCUUGUCCUCACGGUCCAGUUUUCCCAGGAAUCCCUUGGAUGCUAAGAUGGGGAUUCCUGGAAAUACUGUUCUUGAGGUCACGGUUUAGCAGCUGGAUUCGCCUCCCUCCCACCCUAGCAGUGCCCCGUGGGAUGAGGGUCAAGGAGAAGGUCAUGCACUGGAGGUAAGAGGGCUUGUGAACCAUGUUCUUGACCUUUAAGUUGCUUUUCUUUCCACUGUGUCCAUUUCGUAACAUCCCUGUGAGGCUGGAUGUGGGAACUUCAGCAUUGUCGCACUCUGGAGAAGCUUGUUCCAAGUCACACAGCUGAGCAGUGGUUGAACCAGGACACCAGGAGGCCUGAGCUCUUCUCCAUCCCUCCCCACCCUCCCCCACUUCCCUGAAGGGCUUGCCAUAGGAACGACAGUAUCGUAUCGACGUUACUGAGAAACUAAUACAUGCACGUGAAUUUAUUUUAAAAGUUUAUUAAAUCAAUUAGGUAAACUGCAAACCAUAAGGCUUAAUUUGAUUUGGAAAGCAGCCACAGAAAAAAUGGAAAAAAAUUUUAAUCAGAGAAAACAAGACUCAGGACGCCCUCUUGUGGUGCUUCUACUCACUGCAGUGCCCUGAGACCAUCCUACACACACACCUCUUAACCUUGCUACAAGGGUCAAAAUUCAGGUAUUGUUCUUCCUGCACAAGCACACGCAUGCGUUACACACACACACACACACACACACACACACACACACACAGAGAUGCCUUCUAUCCCAAUCAUCUCCUUUAUCUUUUUGCAGUAUUGGGGGUUGAACUAAAGGCGUCACACACGUUAAGCCCUCUACCUACCUACACUAGCUACUCUACACCCUACCAUUAAAGCUACUUCCUCAGCCCUUUUCUUCUAAAAUUUUGAGAGAGUCUUGCUAAUUCUCAGAGUCUGGCCUAGAGCUUGUGCCUCAGCCUCCUGAGCAGCUGGGUUAUAGGCAUCACCACCAUGCACAGCCCCAAUCAAUUGAGCCACUUGUAUCUUAUUUAGCACUUUGCUACCUACCAAGCACCCAUCAUUUACAGUUCACUUUUUAUUCCAAUGCCCAGUUUCAUCCUCAAAGUUCCACUAAGGUUAGUAGGGUUAGUGAGGUUGAGAGGUAAAGUGACCAGCCCAAGGUCACCCAGACAGCCAGAGGCAGAGAAAGCAGAUUUCAAGUUCUGUGGCCUCUGUCACUGUUUUACCCCCCCACACAAAAAAAAACUACAAAACUAAAAGAGACUGCCUCCCCCACUACGUAGAGGGAAUGCUAACUAAAUAAAUGCCCCAAAUCCUAAACUAGAACUUUCCCCAAACUCUUCCUAGUGCUUUUCAUGGAUUUGGUAGAGAUAACUGUCAAGGCCCCAGAAACCUCAUUUUGGGGUCUGAUGGCCACAUUCCCAGGGACCAGGUUGUUCCCACAAAUGUCCCAGGCUGUGUUCCUAACAGGCUAUGUUGUAGAUCUUUAGGAAAUAAGACUCAUACAUGGAGACUGGGGCAGCCUGACCAUAGGAAUAUCAGAUUUGCUAGUAAAAAUAGCAAUAAUGGCUUCCCCUUUUGACUAUUCAUAACUCACCAGGGACUGAGCCGAACAUGUGUGCAAGCCUGGUCUCAGUUCUCCCCCCAGCCCACUGAAGUCAGUUCUACUGCUUAAUUCAUAGACAAAGAGAUCCAAGGCUGAGAGAGGUCAAGAGAUUUAGCAGAGACCACCCAUGGUGAAGCUGGCAUCAAAUCAAGUCUGUGUUUCUGCUUUUAACCAUGACAUGUGGUCCCCCAUCCCCACUUGUCCUGGUUGGUGGGGCCCUGUGCUGGGGAGGCUUACCCUUUGCUGAAACCCAAGUGGCCUCUCCUGUGCUAUGUGACUAUAAUAAAGUGCUGAACUCUUGGCUCA